UGGGUGCCUCUGGAGAACAAGGCAUCCCUGGACCACCGGGUCCCCAGGGCAUCAGGGGCUACCCAGGCAUGGCAGGACCUAAAGGAGAGACGGGUCCUCGUGGAUAUAAAGGCAUGGUGGGCUCCAUUGGCGUAGCUGGACCACCGGGUGAAGAAGGCCCAAGAGGGCCACCAGGCCGAGCCAGUGAGAAGGGUGACAUGGUAAGUCCUCAGGCACCCCAUGUCCUGUCAGAAUCCCUGUAAGGACUGGAAAGGGCUCAUCUUCACCCAAGGAUGAUGUGUGUACAUGUAUGUGCUUAUGUAUGUGUCUGUCACUCUGUGCAUGGGGAUGACUGCUGGGGUCUGACAGUCUGUGCUGAGAGCCCAGUGGGCAUACAUUCAGACCUUGAUAGUAGCCCUGGGGUCCAGUCCUGUGGCCACUGGGGCCAGACAAUG